AAAAUAACAGCACACACAUGCACUCACAGAGAGCAGCUACCUCCCUCCAUGACAAGCAGUUAGCAGCAAAAAUGAUGUCCAGGAGAGCAUGGACAUUUUGAAGGAAAGAGUCCUGUCAUUAUGUAAUAUUUCUCUAUAAUUGGACACCAGUGCUACCAGAAAUAUUGAAUCCCAGCACUGCAAACAUGAUUAUAACCACCAGCCUGGCAAGGGGGAGGAAUCUGAGGAUAAGAGCACUGGCUUGAAAUAGUUGCUGUUCCAAGAAAAUGACCCCAGGAAAAAAAGCCGCCACCACCACCUCUCUCACGAAACCAUCACAACUAGAUUGUUGUGAAGGCUGCCAACACAGCUGCUGCCGGGGCUAGGGAAGUAUGCAGCUGCUGCUACCACUGAGUGGCUGCUGCUCCUCUUUUGUGACAAUGACAAUUGCCCAAGCCUAAGAAGAUCAUGAAGAAAAUAUUUCAGAGGCCCCAUACGUAACCCCCAGAAAAGGCAAAAUUGAAACCCAGAUAAAAAACUGGCCUAGUGGGAAUAGUAAAUCCUACCUACUUCAGUGACCAAGAGGGAGAAGCAAAGGAGAAAUCCCAAACCUGGGAAGGAAGAUGCAAAACACUUCUCAUCAGAGUAAAAUAAAGGGGGGCAUAUCCAGAGGAAGAACAUUAUGACAACAGAAAGACCAACUUGUCACCUUACAUUGGUCAGAGAUGAAGCAGCUGCAGGAAGCUUUGUGCUCCCAUUCCAGAAAGAAUGGAAUACUUAUUUGGACCAUGUUCCAAGUGUGGUGUCACCAUCCAUUGGUACAAAGGCUAUAGCAAUAUUGGCAGGGUUUAUUAGGAAGAUGUUUGAAAUGCAAUAUAAGCUACUGGAGAGUACCAGUUCUGAAUAAGCAGCACCAGCAGUGAUGAAAUAAGAUGUGGAUUCAAGGCUCACCAGUUAAUAAAGAUACGUCUGGUUUAGCAGCCGGAGAUCUGUGUCAUGUGCCUGGGUGUCCUCCAAACACCACCCACUGCAACUGAAUUAGAUGCCAGAAGAUCCCACCCAAAGGAGUCACUCUUCCCUUGAAAACAAUUAAUAAUUCUCUGGAAGAAACAACCAGGAUACUGUUGCAGUGCUACAGGAAGGACUGAUAACAUCACGUGGGCUGGGACAUUCCUUUGUGUCAGCAAACACAAGUGGGAUGUUCCCUUUCAAGACCUAGAGCACAGAGGAAGUGAUUCUUUAAAACACAAUGUACAUUGAAAUGGGCUUUCGUCUAAAGAUCUCCUGGUAUUAUUACUCCUGCUUGAGGAUGCUUGUUCUAUCUGCAGCAGCAUUUGCUUGAUGUACUUCCCUUCUUUGUUACAUAGUGAAAGGCAGACAUAAUAUAAUCAAAUGAAGAGCAUUAUACCAUGAAAUGACACUGAAUAGUUUUCAGAAGACGUGUGUGUGUGUGUGCAUGCUUAUUAACAUAUGGACAAAGACACAUAUAAAUGUUAUUGGACUACAAGCUGUAUUCUGCAAAUCAAUAUAUACCUUCCUGGGAGUAUGACCCAUUGAACUUUAAAGGAUUUACUGCUGAAUAUAUAGGAUUGCAGUGUUAAUUGUCUUGACAUCAUGUGGUUGAUUAACUGUGAGUGGGCCAUUUUUAAUUGACAAAGACAAAUAUUAAAUGGCAGGGUCCAGAGUUAAGCAUACACUUGGAACUAUUUGGUGGAAUGAAAAAGAAAUUAAUGUAUGCAGUUUGAUGUACCAGAGAUAUGAUGACAACCACUGCCUUAAGAAGUCUUUAAAGGGAAAAUGAAAGGGAAUUUGUGGCAAUUAAGGUUAUCACUGAGUGGCUAUUAGCUGUAACAGCAAUAUAAAACUUUCAGUUUCAGAGACAGCAUGCUUCUAAAAGGCAGCUGUUGAGAGGUCGAGCAACAACAGGAUAGGGUUAUUGAAUCCCAUUCAAGGGAGAAAGGUGGGGUGUAAAAUGAUUCACUGACCAACUGAAUGAAAGUUGCUUUCAUGCCAAGCUUGUAGGCUUCCUGGUGUCAUCUCUAGGAAGCCACUAUGGGAAACAAGAUACUGAUGCAAACUUUGGUGUAUGAACUUUGGUGGAUUUUUCAUAUGUUCAUAAAAUGUCUAUUGUCUAAACUUCUCGGCACCUAAACCCCCAUAUAUUUAUCUACAUACAGAGCUUGGGAAAUAUUACUUUUCCAAAUUACAUGUCACAGAAUCCCAUGGCCAUUAUGGCCACAGUCUAAAAAAGUAAUUUUCCCAAACCCUGCAGAUAUGUAUGGGGUGGGGUCAUGGAAAUAUGACAGGGCUAAGAAUGUAAAUACACAUACCAUAACUAAAAUACACAGAAGACUUGGGAAAAUACUUUUUUUGGUCUAUUGCCAUAAUAGCUGGAGUAUUCUGGCAGUUGUCAUCCAAUUUUUUCCCCCAAACUCUGAAUAUAGAUAGGUAUAUAGGGACAUAGCUGUUGAGAAAUUUGGAUGACAGACACCUUUGUUUAAAUUCAAAUUGCACACAUACUGCCUCAUACCUCCUUACACACAGACACGCAUAUACAUAAGACUGUCAGGUCAGUACAUUGCCAGACGCUGAGAUUUUGGGUGCCAAAACCUGAAGUGUAGGAACAGGACCAUGUAAUAUUUAUUAAUUUAUUGAUUUAUUUAUUUCAUUUAUAUGCCAUCUUUCUCCCAGAGUGGGACCCAAGGCGACUGUCAUGUCACAGGAAACAGGUUCUAGUGAGGAUACAAGGUGCACCCCCUGCUGAUCUCAGUAAUGGUGAUAUGUUAGACACCCAGCACAGCUGAACAGAAUUUUGUUGUUGUUGUUGUUUCCGAUCUAUGACAUCCCUGUAGCAAACUUUCAUGGACUUUUCUGGGGCUGAGAGUAUGUGACUCAGUGUGUGAGUCUCCAUAGCUGAGCAAGGAAAUGAACCCUGGUCUCCAAAGCUGUAGUCUAAUGCUCAAACCAAUGUAUCAUACUGCCACAGAAUAUACCAUCCAUGUUUUAAAAUGUCUAAUAAAUAAGGGGUGUGUGUGUGUGUUUGUAAACACACACACACACACUUUCAAGACUGUUACCUUGAGAUUUCUCCCUCUCUCCUGGUGAACUGUCGAAGAGGAUGCCAGCCUAAGAGUCAGGCCAUGAGCUUUGACAACUCUACAUGUAGGAGUUUCAGUGGAAUUCUUGCUUUGUGAUACCUGCCUGGGAUUGCAAAAGUAAGCAGUUUGUCAAGCCUCAGUACAACCGUUCAUAAUUGCUGUUCAGCAGUGGGCUGCAUACACAAUGUGAAUCUCAGCAGAUACCCACUGGGAUAGUGGUAGAUUUUGAUAUGCAAGUGCUCAGUGGGGCAGUACCCAUAGCCAGGCCCUGGAGGAAAGUCCAAAAAAGGCAGGCAGCUGUGUUGAUCCUUAUCAGCAUAUGAUAUGUUCACUAUAAAAGAGGUCAAGAACACAUAACUACAUCCUAGAAUAAAUAACACUUAAUCACUAAAGAUUUUACUACAAGGAAAGAGAUUGUACGCAGUACACUAUACAACUAAAAGGCUGCUCCCCUGAAAGUAAUUAUAAAAAUGUGAAUCAAUCAUCAGAAAUCUAUGGCAGAUUUACAUCCAAGUUACAUCACUGUGUUCUAGUUUGAAAGUUGAGAAG